GAAAAGAUCUUGAUAUGGCUGAAAGUCUUAGAGGGACUCUUGGUAGAAAAAACCCACUCAUAUUGAUACCUGUAUUUCCUACUACUUAAUAAAGUAUUUUGUAAAUUAUUAUAGUAGAGUAAUUUUCAGACGAGUCAUUUUUUUGGUGAGUCCAAAAAACAGUCAAGAUAAAUGAACGUUUUUGGGCUCACGUCAGAUAGACUUUUCUGAACUUUCUUCUAUUACAGUAUUAUGUCUAUUUGAAAUAUUUUGAAAAUCUCUGUAUGAUGAGAAAUUUAACUCCAUUGCAGUUACCUCUGCUCGUCCUAAUUAUCAUUUCCGAAUAGUGUCUUAGGAAAAGAUUGUCUCGUCCGUACUCCAUUCGUGACCCGAUCCGUUCUCACUCUUAUUGAAAUUUUAAAAGGAUCGAGUCUCACAUGAGAUUCAGACUCUGCCCAGUUAAAUAUCGGGUAUCCAAUUAUCGGAUCCAUGGGCAAAAAAUAAAUAAAUAUGUUGUUCAUCGGAUUUUAAAUGAUAUUUUAGUUUCUAUGCUAUCAUGUAAUAAAAAAUAAAUCUGUAAAGGUUUAUAUGCACAAAAUGGCAGCCCACAGAGGCCCAUUAACAGACGCAACUUGGAAAGAAACCCUAGGUCCAUUGCUAUAUAUAUAUUUAGUUGUUUUCUUAUUUUUCUUCGGUGGUUCUUUCUCAGCGUUUCUCAAUUCUUCUCAUGUCUGUAUAUCUCGAUUCGUUUCUUUAUUAGUUAGAUCUAAUCUAUAGUUUUGUUGUUGUUUAUUCCUAUGAUUUGCAUCUGUUUUAUAUAUGAAUGUUCUCCUCAAAUCUGUUUCGUACAUUUUUAUUUGGGGUGGAUUUGAAUGAUGCAUAGAUCUACGGUUCGAUUUAUCAACACAUUGUGAUAUCUUAAUUUGCAAUGCUGUCAAACGCUCGAUCUAUAUUCUUUCUUUGUUUGAUGAUGAUUAUUUUUACGAUGCAAUAUUUUAGUUCUGAUUAUUCGAUUUUGAUCUUUUUUUUUUAAUGUUUUAGAUGAUUUAUCGUUUGCUUUCGAUUGUCUGAUAUCUUUCUGUUCUAUCAAUUGCUUCUAAACUUGAAUUUGCAAUGCCAACAAAUAUUGGAUCUUUAUUUCUUCUUGUAAUUCGAGUUCUGAUCAUUUAAUCCCUGCGAUUAAUUUCGUUUGUUCUUAUUUUUGUCAAUUUUUUAUUGAUUUAUUUUGAUAUUACGCAACCUCCAAAAUAGGAGCUUAAUUAGAUUUAAACUUAAAAUCAUCCAUUAACAUUUAAUUAAUUACUAGAUUUAGAUAUUAUAAUGACUGAGAAUUAAAUUUAUAAUCGCCCUACCCGUUCAUCUUUUUACCAAUAUACCCAAACACAUAGUUAAUACCACCUAAUCCAUCAUCAACCCAACUACCCUAAUUAACACCUUUAUAGCUGUUAAUCCUCAACUAAGUUACAUUUAUAAAUACACCCUCACAAUACAUGCAAUACAAGUAUAUAAGUUCUGUUCUACUUUAAUCUGGUUUGGAUUCAAAUCUCUGUCUCAAUCUCAAUCUGGUUUCCUGGUCUAUUGAAUCUGGAUCUUCGAAUCUAUCUAGGCAUCUCCGAUCUUCGUGAUGCCAAUCUGUUCCGGCACUUCUUCGAUCUUCAAUCAUCAAUCUGUUCAUCAUCAGUCAUCAUAUCUAAAUAUUACAAACAACAAUGAUUUAAUCAUAUAAAUUAUUAUAAAUAAAUCCAUACUGGAAUUCUAACAGUCUAUUAGUUAAAUUUAAAUUAAUUUAUCUAUUUUCUGGUCAAACAAUUAUGGUUUCGUUUUAUAAUUAAAUUUUAUUUUUUACCCAUAUGUUGUUGAGAUUCAAUCUUGGCUCAUUGCUUAAGGUCUUAUUUCUUGGUUUGUUUUAUAAAUAAAAGUUUUGGAUUCUUAUCAGAAUUUUAUACCAACCAUCGAUUUCGCUGUACAUUUGUCAAAUUAAGUUUUUUUUUUAAUUCGUUAUUCGUUUAUAAGGCUAAGAUUAAUUUUUUUUGACAAAACUGGUUUAUUGAUAAUUGACCACUGAAUUAUUGAAUCGACAUUCUUAAUUGGCUUAUUAAUAUGCGGUAGGUGGUGAAAACUACCCACCUAUAAACAUGAUAUUUUUUUGGAUAAUUGUUAAAUCUAACCACCUAAGGUUGGUUAGGAGUUAAAAUUACCCACCUAUAAAUUUUAUAUGACCAUUUUACCCUUACUUUUUUUUUAAAUUUUCUUUCACAUGCCAUUGUCGGGCAGAAAAAGAACCCACCCAUCGAUCUCCUCCCACCUCCUAUACUUCUAUUCUAACGUCGUCCUUCCUCCUCCAUUUCAUAGAGCCUCUGGAACCAACCAGAGUAGGAAACCAAAAAUCUAUCGCUGCUGCAUUCCAAGCAUGUGAUUCCCAACAAAUUGAUCCCAGCUAACUGCUUAUCCGGCUAAAAAACAAAAAUCCGAAUUAUAUUAACAGAAACCAAAAGAAGAAAGCUGAAUUAAAUCGUAGAGAUUGACAAUAAUACCAUGGUACUAGACACCAUACUGAGUACGUGGUCGAUCCAAGUGUCGAAUGCAUCCUUCCAAUUUUUAGCAAGCUUAGGAUUAUUCUUCGAGCUUACAGAUUCUCUGAGUAGACCAUGACUUUUGACGGUGGACACUGUGGAUAAGAGAUGGGAGAAGUUGACGAUGAUCUUGAUCGAAGAUAGCCGGCCGACGAUGAACACAUAGAGGAAUAGAGGAAGAAAUCGAGUAUGAGAGAUGUCGAGAAGCUGGAAUGUUGGUUGGAGAAAGGCUGGAAUCGAUAGAUGGAUUUGAGUUAGGUUUUUGAGAAUUUGGGAAUUAGAAAUAACAUUUAGAUAUUUAAGAUUUAUGGGAUUUAAAAAUAGAAAGUUCUUUAAAAAUAAAUGGUUUAACGGGUAAACGGGCAUGAGUAUAACCCACACAAUUUACUAAUAAGGGGCAAAUUAGGAAAUUUUAUACACUAACACACCCUAACCACCUAACACCUAAGAUUGGUGGGUAGUUUUGACCACCAAUCCAUUUUAGAUGGUUAGUUUUAACAUUUUCCCAAUUUUUUUUUGUAUUUUUUUCUUUUAAACUGUUCACUGAUGUCACAUGUCACAUGUGAAUGUGAUGUGUAGUAGGUAAUGAAAUUAGGAUUGAGAACGUGAUAGGUUUCGGUGGUCCUGCCUCGAUAUCUGUCCUCUUUUAUCAGAAUGGGACGCUUUUCUUCCCAACCCGAUGAAUGAUGCAGACGGGGCGUAUUUGGUUUGGUUUUUUUGAAAUUAUAAAAAAUAAUAAUUAAAAAAGUAAAUCUAAAAUAAACGUUUAAAAAUAUAAUAAUUUUAUAUCUAAAUUCUAAUAUGUUAUAAUUUAUUUAAAAAAAUAUAUUUUUUAAAUCGAGACAACUUGUUUGGGUUUCCAAGUUCCAACUGUUUGAAGACCCAACAGGUCGUAAAUAUGAUUGGGGUAAAAAGGGCACGACAUAACGGGUCGUCUGGUUCUCACUCAAAAAUUAAAUGAUGGUAGUAUGUAUGACUUUUAAAUAAUAGAAUAAUAGUUGCCAAAUUUGAAUAUAAUAGAUGCCAAAUUUGAAUCUUCUGAAUAUAAUACAUAAAUGUCAGAAUUUAACAAAUGUUAUUAUAGUUGAUUUAAUCUAUAUUUUUCUGCGGUCACAGGCUCAUGGCAUUUCCUAUUAUAAAUAGUUGAUGAGAUUAGAACGAUAUUAUUCAAUUCCAAUUCAAAUUCCACAAUUGCAAUGGAGUUCAAAUACCCAUCAUUUCUAUUAUUUUUCUCUUUGUUCUUACCUUUGAUGAUUUUGUUGAUUCUUAUCAAAAAGAAAAACAACAAAAGAUUGCCACCAGGACCGACAAAGCUUCCUAUCAUUGGGAAUCUCCAUAACUUAAUUUUUGCAGGUGACGAUCAUCUUCCUCGUGUGUUUGGAGAGCUCGCAAAGAAGCAUGGCACGUUUAUGCAUUUAAAAUUCGGUCAAAUCUCUCAAGUUGUCGUCUCUUCAUCCGAUCUUGCAAAAGAGUUUCUUAAAACCCAUGACAUCAACUUUGCAACUCGACCAGAUAAAUUCACGUCCAGACUUAUCUUUUACAAUAAUCGUGAUGUUGCGUUAGCGCCAUACGGCGAAUACUGGAGACAGAUGAAAAAAAUCGUUACUCUCGAGCUUCUCAGUGCGAAAAAGGUGAAGUUUUUUGACAGGUUAAGGAGAGACGAAGUGGGCAAAAUGAUCAACAUUCUCACCAAAGCUGCAACUAAUGGCACAUCGGUUAAUCUAAGUGAAAUGUUUCUUGUUUUUAACAACAACAUUUCCACUCGUUCUAUAUUUGGUGACAACAUUCGACAUCAGAAAGAAUUUCUGAAUGCUAUGAAGGUAGUAGUUGUUCUUGCAACUAGUUCCAAUUUUAGCAAUUUCUUUCCUCUUAUGGAAAAUUUCAUCGCCUGGUUGACUGGUAUGAAGCUUAAGACAGAAAAGACGCACAAGACAAUCGACAAUAUAUUAAAUACAAUCAUUGAUGAACAUCUUGGUAAAAAAAAUAACGACAAUUCGAUGGAAGAUGGCGAAGAAGAUUUCUUAGAUAUUCUUCUCAAACUUCAGAAGGAAAAUCAAUUUGGUUUUGAAUUUAGCAUAAAUGAUUUGAAAGCCGUAUUAUUGGUAAAAAACAAUUUUUUCCUUUUAAUAUCCAAAUUAAUUUUGGAAAUAUUAAUAAGAACUCUACUAAUGAUUAUUCAAUUGUUAUUUACAGGACUUAUUCCCCGGAGGAACGGAGACAACAUCCACAACGCUAGAGUGGGUAAUGUCUGAGUUGGUGAAAAAUCCUACCACUUUGAAGAAAGUGACAUCAGAGGUCAGACAAAAAAUUUCGAUAACUGAUGCAAAAACAGAUGAUUGCGAUAAUAAUUUUAGCAACGAGAUGGGUUACAUGCAAAAUGUUAUCAAAGAAACCUUUCGACUCCAUCCACCAGUACCGCUUCUUCUUCCUCAUGAAUCUAGAGAGAAAUGUCAAAUAAAAGGUUACGAUAUAGAAGAGAAGACAAGCGUCAUUGUAAAUGUUUGGGCAAUUGGAAGAGAUCCUAACAAAUGGAAAGAUUCAGAAAUAUUCAAACCAGAAAGGUUUAUUGGAAAUCCAAUCAAUUUCAAAGGAUCACAUUUUGAUUUAAUUCCAUUUGGUUCUGGGCGGAGAAUAUGUCCUGGUAUGACAUUUGGUCUGGCUAAUGUGGAACUUUCGCUUGCUACCCUUUUAUACAAUUUCGAUUGGAAAAUACCAAAUGAUGUUCCUGGAAAAGAUCUUGAUAUGGCUGAAAGUCUUAGAGGGACUCUUGGUAGAAAAAACCCACUCAUAUUGGUACCUGUAUUUCCUACUACUUAAUAAGUUAUUAUAGUAGAGUAAUUUUCAGGUGAGUCCAAAAAACAAUCAAGAUAAAUGAGCGUUUUUGGGCUCACGUUAGAUAGACUUUCUUGAACUUUCUUCUAUUAAAGUAUUAUAUCUAUUUGAAAUAUUUUGAAAAUCUCUUUAUGAGAAGUUUAACUCCAUUGCAGACUGCACGUCUUAAUUAUCAUUUC
rnacentral:lncRNA from 1 species